AUGCUGGCUUCCACAGCACAUACACUAAAAUCGGAAUGUUACAGAGAUUAGCAUAGCCCCUGCGCAAGGAUAACUUGCAGAUUCUUGAAGCGUUCCAUGUUUUU
ensembl:snRNA U6 U6 spliceosomal RNA